GGUUCUCGAAUUAGGUAGUGGUGGUGGCAGCGGCUUCACUUCUUCAGACACACUCAACGUUGUCCCUGGAGAAUAGCUAGUUGUAGAAGAAGAAGCAGGCAAUCUUAUAGCAUUGCAAGCUCAUGAGGGAAGGAAGAGGCUCUUCCAGAUGAUAAAUGAUCUCCCAACCAUUUUUGAGGUUGACAACCACAACAGUAGCAGAAGCAAAUCUAGCGGUGCCAAGCCUCGCCACUCUGAAUCUCACACUAAGGCUUCAAAGAUGUCCCCACCACCAAAAGAAGAAGAUGAGAGUGGAGAUGAGGAGGAAGAUUACGAACAAGAUGCGGUUUGUGGUGCGUGUGGAG